GACGAACGCUGGCGGCGUGCUUAACACAUGCAAGUCGAACGGAAAGGCCCUGCUUUUGUGGGGUGCUCGAGUGGCGAACGGGUGAGUAACACGUGAGUAACCUGCCCUUGACUUUGGGAUAACUUCAGGAAACUGGGGCUAAUACCGGAUAGGAGCUCCUGCUGCAUGGUGGGGGUUGGAAAGUUUCGGCGGUUGGGGAUGGACUCGCGGCUUAUCAGCUUGUUGGUGGGGUAGUGGCUUACCAAGGCUUUGACGGGUAGCCGGCCUGAGAGGGUGACCGGCCACAUUGGGACUGAGAUACGGCCCAGACUCCUACGGGAGGCAGCAGUGGGGAAUAUUGCACAAUGGGCGGAGGCCUGAUGCAGCAACGCCGCGUGCGGGAUGACGGCCUUCGGGUUGUAAACCGCUUUCGCCUGUGACGAAGCGUGAGUGACGGGAAUGGGUAAAGAAGCACCGGCUAACUACG
rnacentral:rRNA from 1 species